GAUGAACGCUAGCGGGAGGCUUAACACAUGCAAGUCGAGGGGCAGCAUAGGGUAGCAAUACUCUGAUGGCGACCGGCAAACGGGUGAGUAACGCGUAUGUAACCUACCCUGUACAGGGGGAUAACCCGGAGAAAUUCGGACUAAUAUCCCAUAACAAUAUCCGGGGGCAUCUUUGGAUAUUUAAAGUUCCGGCGGUACGGGAUGGGCAUGCGUAACAUUAGCUAGUUGGUAAGGUAACGGCUUACCAAGGCUUUGAUGUUUAGGGGUCCUGAGAGGGUGGUCCCCCACACUGGUACUGAGACACGGACCAGACUCCUACGGGAGGCAGCAGUGAGGAAUAUUGGUCAAUGGGCGCAAGCCUGAACCAGCCAUCCCGCGUGCAGGAAGACGGCGCUAUGCGUUGUAAACUGCUUUUCCAGGGAGAGAAACUUGCGCACGUGUUGCGCAAUUGACGGUACCCUGGGAAUAAGCAUCGGCUAACUCCGCG
rnacentral:rRNA from 1 species